rfam:Triticum aestivum genome assembly, contig: Triticum_aestivum_CS42_TGACv1_scaffold_030573_1BL
AUACCUUUCUCGGCCUUUUGGCUAAGAUCAAGUGUAGUAUUUGUUCUUAUCAGUUUAAUAUCUGAUAUGUGGAUUACAUGUCCACAACGAUAUUAAAUUUAUUUUUUGUGGGGGAGGAUCCACCAUAGUGGCUUGCCACUAGGGUCCUCGUGUGUUCCUCGGGCGUUGCACUACAGCCCGGGUGUGGCGCACCCCAA